rnacentral:rRNA from 1 species
UACGGAGGAUGCGAGCGUUAUCCGGAUUUAUUGGGUUUAAAGGGUGCGUAGGCGGCUUUUAAGUCAGCGGUAAAAAUUCGGGGCUCAACCCCGUCCGGCCGUUGAAACUGGGGGCCUUGAGUGGGCGAGAAGAAGGCGGAAUGCGUGGUGUAGCGGUGAAAUGCAUAGAUAUCACGCAGAACCCCGAUUGCGAAGGCAGCCUUCCGGCGCCCUACUGACGCUGAGGCACGAAAGUGCGGGGAUCGAACAGG